rnacentral:lncRNA from 1 species
GAGCAUCCUAGGGACUCCAAAGAGCAAAUGAUUACAAAAUCUGUUGGAGUGAUUCACACCAGCAACAGCAGUUGAUCCAGUGUUUCAUUAGGACCAUCUUUGCUGGUCCUCCCAGGCCUUCUGAAUGUAAUCCUGAAGCUGUGAAAUUAUUUAUCUCAAAGGACAAGCUGGACUUGCCGUGAUAAUGGAGGGAAGGUCUGUUUACCAUGCCACAAAGACACUGCUGAGCCUCUGCUAAAGUGGAAGGUUGGAGGUCUAUUGAUGAGACAAGGAGAGACCUUGCUUGGGGAACAGAUUACAGAAAAAAUAUAAUCAGGUGUCCCAGCUGCUGUUCAAGCCUCUGUUUGCAAAGGCCCCUGGAUACACAAAUGUCUCCACAACCACAAACCAAAUAAAGGACGUGAUUGCAGGUUGCUUUUCUCAGAACAGAUCUAUUCCAGCCUCCACAAACACACCAACAUCCAGCAACUGAAAUAAUUUUAAAAGAAUAAAUAAGAUUAAAUUGGCGGUAUAAAUAAUUAGAUGAAAAAAGUAAAAGGGCACCAGAUACCAGAAGCAAUCAUAUUUUCUGCAACAUUGCUCUAAGUCAAG